rnacentral:tRNA from 1 species
CAGAAUAUAGCUUAAAUAAAGCAUUUUGCUUACACCAAAAAAAUAUUUAAUAAUUAAAUUAUUCUGA